UCAUUGACGAUGAACGGGAAGAGUACGUGAGCCAGCACUGCCUAGAGAGUCGGGAAAAGGUGAAAACCCGGCCAGUUGCUUUCGCAGAAAAUCACCCGGGAGUUCAAUAUCCGAAAACCGGUGAACCUUGAUGGUUGAACAGGUGAGUAAGUGAGCGCGUCAUUCCCGUUACGAAUGAGUGAAGUGGAACGAAUCCGAUGCAGGCUUUUUUGUCGUACGGGUUUGUUCAAUCAGGGUGGUACCACGGGAGCUUUCUCUCGUCCCUUUU
rnacentral:ncRNA from 1 species